rnacentral:rRNA from 11 species
AUGUGCAGCCUAAACACCCUAAAGGCACCAGAUCCCUUCUAAUCUUGGAAGCUAAUAAGAGUUCAUCCUGAUUAGUAGUUGGACGGGUGACCGCCAAUGAAGUCUAAGGUAAUGUAGGUU